GAUCAUGGCUCAGGAUGAACGCUAGCGGGAGGCCUAACACAUGCAAGCCGAGCGGUAUUUGUUCUUCGGAACAGAGAGAGCGGCGCACGGGUGCGGAACACGUGUGCAACCUGCCUUUAUCUGGGGGAUAGCCUUUCGAAAGGAAGAUUAAUACCCCAUAAUAUAUUGAGUGGCAUCAUUUGAUAUUGAAAACUCCGGUGGAUAGAGAUGGGCACGCGCAAGAUUAGAUAG
rnacentral:rRNA from 1 species